GACGAACGCUGGCGGCGUGCUUAACACAUGCAAGUCGAGCGAGAAACCUUCGGGUUUCUAGCGGCGGACGGGUGAGUAACACGUGGGUAACCUGCCUCAAAGAGGGGGAUAGCCUUCCGAAAGGAAGAUUAAUACCGCAUAAUAUUACAGUUUCGCAUGAAGCAGUAAUUAAAGGAGUAAUCCGCUUUGAGAUGGACCCGCGGCGCAUUAGCUAGUUGGAGAGGUAACGGCUCACCAAGGCAACGAUGCGUAGCCGACCUGAGAGGGUGAUCGACCACAUGUGAACUGAGACACGGGCCAGUCUCCUACGGUAGGCAGCAGUUGGGAAUAUUGCACAAUGGGCGAAAGCCUGAUGCAGCAGCGCCGCGUGAGUGAUGAAGGUCUUCGGAUUGUAAAGCUCUGUCUUUUGGGACGAUAAUGACGGUACCAAAGGAGGAAGCCACGGCUAACUACGUGCCAGCCGCCGCAGUAA
rnacentral:rRNA from 1 species